AGCCUUGUGGUGUACAACAUGUUAGAUUGCAAAUCUAAGGAUGCAGAUUAGAUUCUGCCGGGGCUU
rnacentral:tRNA from 1 species